rnacentral:rRNA from 1 species
UACGGAGGAUUCGAGCGUUAUCCGGAUUUAUUGGGUUUAAAGGGAGCGUAGAUGGAUGUUUAAGUCAGUUGUGAAAGUUUGCGGCUCAACCGUAAAAUUGCAGUUGAUACUGGAUGUCUUGAGUGCAGUUGAGGCAGGCGGAAUUCGUGGUGUAGCGGUGAAAUGCUUAGAUAUCACGAAGAACUCCGAUUGCGAAGGCAGCCUGCUAAGCUGCAACUGACAUUGAGGCUCGAAAGUGUGGGUAUCAAACAGG